rnacentral:rRNA from 1 species
AUGCCACCAGGGGGUGGAGAAGCAAGCAAGCAUGGCCGCACGGCAAAGGAGCAGAGCAACCCGCCGGCGAUCCGCCGCCGCGACGAGUCCCGUCCUGCGCCGCCAUUCCCCGCCGUGGAUUCUCAGUUGCUUGGGUCCUCUCCGAGGCAGAGGCAGCCAGCGGCGGCGGCGGCGGCGAUCCUCUCCGAGGGCCCCCUCGUCGAGAUCCUGGCGCGGCUGCCGUACAGGUCGCUCUGCCGCUUCAAGUGCGUGUCCAAGCAGUGGCUCAAGCUCUGCUCCGACCCCAAAAUCAUCAAGACGGCGUCACAGACCCUCUCCGGAUUCUUCCACAACCACCUGGCCUGCGGCCUCUGCUUCGACAAUUUGUCUGGCGGACGCCCGCUGGUCGACGCGUCGCUCCCUUUCCUGCGCGAGAGCUACGAAAGAAUCAAGCUCGAGCAAUGCUCCACCAGCCUCCUCCUCUGCAAAUGCUGGGAAUCGGAAUCCGAACAAGAUGAAUGCGAUUUCGUCGUGUGCAAUCCGAUGACCAAGCAGUGGACCGUGCUGCCUCCUAUAGAAUGGCUGGACGAAGACGGUGAAGACACCGAGUGUUUCAAGCUGAUGUAUCCCUUCCUGGUUUUCGACCCCGCCGCCCCGUCUCAUUUUGUGGUGUUUGUGCCCCUCCUCGAGACGGACGAUGUUCUGGCGGUAUACUCAUGGGAAACCGGACAAUGGACUCCGAGCAGUGGGUGGGAUAACUGUCCGUAUCCCGCCGUUGUUCCGGAAUGCGCCGUCUUGAUGAAUGGCAUGAUGCAUUUCUUGCAUUUGUUUAUCGAUGAACCGUUGAUAGCUGCAGUGGACAUUGAGGGGGAGGUUUGCCGAGAAAUUCAUCUCCCGGAAGAAACGAUAGGAGCCACACCUGGUUAUAGCUCGUUGGGGUGCUCUCAAGGACUCCUACAUGCUUGGUUUAUGAAUCCUCUUGACUACGUGCUCGCUGUGUGGGUGCUCAAGGAUUAUGCUACUGAGGAGUGGACCCUAAAGCAUACAGUCGCCGUUCUGGAUCUCUUUGAAGAAACGGAGCCCGACCAAGAGGAGGAUUGCGACCAAGAGGAUGGGACCCAUAAGUAUGAUAUGUUUGCAAUUCAUCCAGAACAUAAUGCGAUUUUCCUUACUGAUUGGAGGGAGGUGAAUUUGUCAUACGAUAUGGACAGCGGGCAAGUGCAUCAUAUGUGCACUUCUGGAGAUUUCCUGGCGGUCUACCUUUUAUUCCUUGCUUUGCGGAUUUGGGGAUUUGGCUCUCGGAUGAUCACUGAAAAGUCGGCGUUGUGUCAUGUCUUUGGCGUGGUAUUAGUUGCCUUUUGUAGAAGUCACUCUUCUAGUCCUGUGGCAUUGGUUUGGAUAUGUCCUCCUAGCAUUCCAAGUUAUGCUCUCUGGGUGCUGCUGUUUUGUGGCGUUGAACAAUGUUGGUUAACGGUAGAGGUUUUGAAAGCGAGAAGCGUCCAAUGGGCAAUGCUUAGUUAUAUGAAUUAUCUAGUCAACUAA